GGGUGGUGCACGCCCGCCUCGCGCGCCCCUAACUGACAGCGCGCGGGAAGCUCCGGCGCGGCUCUUGCUGUGGCGGGGCCCCCCCUCCACGCUGGCCGCUUUCCUCCGAGAGACCUCUGUGGUUUCCGUAGGGAAGCCGAGGGUUUCCCACAGUUCUCCACGGCAUUCCCCACUUUCCCAUGGCUGUUUCUGGAAGAUUUCUGGUUAAGUCGAAACUGGCUGUGAUGUGAUAUGUCGGGAACUGACAGCCGGGCUGGGCUUGCCGGCCCCACCUCAGUUUGGAAGGAAUUUGGUAGUAAUGCCAAUCUGUGGAUGACAGCUUCCAAUCUCAGCCCUCCAAUGCAUCCUUUGCAAUGCAGGAGAUGUCAAAAUAUUGAGCUUUUCCAUCAGAGACUGAGGAAAAAAAAUCAGAAAUAAAAGUGGCCCGAGCUGUUACUGGGUGUGUUGCAUGCUGUGGGCAUGCAGGUCACACACUGAUGCAUCAGGAAAUGACCUUACAAACACUGAAUGAUUUGCACCCAGAUGAGCUAAUAGCACUACCUCAUGGCGUGCCACGUGCACAUCCUAAAAUGAGAGGCUGCAUGAGGAAUGGGCAGAUAGUUUAGCCAGGCUGUUCAUUGACAGGUGUCUCAGAAUCUGUAGUCCUUUUGGAAAUGUGGCCUUAGGGUGUAAAAAGACUGCCUCAGUUCAGUAUGAGCUGAAGUGAUGGAUAAAAGACGGUGGUGGUGGUGUAGGUGUUUUUAGUAGGGGCAUCGUGAUUUUUAUGUCUUUAUCAUCCACAGUCACACUCCUAUACCACCUACUCUUUCCCAAAUUUCAAAUGUCACUCUUGUUCAAAUUCUUCCUGCCAACCUAAGCUUUCUGAGGAUACCUCUUUUGGCAUUGUUCCCACAUGAGCCAGUGCUCAUCCUGCCCACCCCUCAUACCCGUUGCUCCCUGUGGGUUCUUACAUAAGUCAGCAGAAGUUACCUGUUGAUUUAACGAGAUUAGAACUCAUGAUGUGUGUUUGUUGACACAGCAGUCCCAUGUGCUGUCGGGACAGAUGAAGGAAAAGUAUCAGAAAUAGGGAAAAAUUAAGCAAAAAGUUUUCAUCACAACUUCCUUUCAGGCUCAAACUAUGUUAAUACCUGCAAACAAAGCACAACUUGAGUUAGCAGAGACCCACCGAAGGGUAAGGAUCCUGGAAAGGUGUAGCUCAGGCAUCACAUCAGAAGGGAGUGCGUAGUUUGAACUAGGGCCCAAACUAAUAAAACUGACUUUCAGCUUGGCA